CAAUAACUGGGAAAUUGUGUUAAGUUUCUUUGUGAAAGUUUAUAUAUGCAUAAUAUAAAGGUGGUUUUCCUCCUUUGCACCUGAAUCUGCACAAUCAAUCUGUGUCCACGCACACGCACAUGCACACCAUAGCAGACAAGAGGGAACUGAAGGCAAAAAGUGAAGGACUGCAGCAACACGUGAGGAGGCUGACAAAGGUGAAGCUUAUACCUGUGUGUAGGUGUAUAUAUAUAUAUAUA